CUGUCAGCAAGAAGCUCGAAGCUCAUGAUGUUUUCCCAAGGGACAGCCCACACAUUCAUCUGUCUUUAAUAAAAGCAAAUCUGCCCGGCUGUAUCGGCUGAUGUACUGUGCUUGCCUUGGAACAACAAUCAUGUGUUGUUUUUUUUUCAGUGGGAGGGUUUUCAAGAUUUAUGGGUGUGCUGAGAAAACAUGGGAGGAAUCUGCCUGGAGGGCUGAUGGAUCUCCAUGGAAUGAAAGAUGUACUCAAUGAAGUGCAUUUAUACACACUGUCCUUGGCUUGCAGUGCAGCUUUCCAAGGACAGUUGGAAGAUGUUCAGACACUAUUACUGAAGCACAGAAGAGAGGGAAAAUUAAACAAGGUCCAUAAAGCAGCUCUGAAGUUCAACAGCAGAAAUCCCUGCUUCUUGGCUUUCUCAAGGUAACCAUCAUCUAGUGCUGUGCUUCUUUUCUUGCACAUUCUGAUUGGUUUUAUUGCAGCUGUUUAGAAAAAAUGCACUAAAUUCCUACUGAAGUAUAAUUCCAUGGGAGGCCUGAUACAGGAUAACAUUAGAACAUUAGAUUCGGGUUCUGCCAGACUGAAAAGCCAAAAAGUAUGUGAGUGGUGAUUUUGGUUGUCCUCACUGUGAAGCUAUUGCCUCUAAUAGAUUUAUAAAGUUUCAUAAAGUGCUGCAAAGAUGCAUACAAAAAAAAAUUAAUCCCUGACAAAAAGAUGAGUUUAGAUAAAAAAGGCAGGCCAAGACAGAAAAAUUGUUCUAAUACUUUCAGGUGUUUCAGAUAGUCUAUUUUGGACUCUGCUCUCUUAUGGCACUACUUAAUGGACUUAAAGAAAGGGGGAGUGAACAAGGAGUGGCCAGAUCUGUUGAGUGUUAAGAAGCCAUUUAAAUGAAUCUUGAUUUCCUAAGGUUAAAGGCAUUUCUCUCACUCUAAGAGCAACAUAGAGUUCAAUACAAAUUUUGCA
rnacentral:lncRNA from 1 species